rnacentral:rRNA from 1 species
AUUGAACGCUGGCGGCAGGCUUAACACAUGCAAGUCGAACGAGUGGCGGACGGGUGAGUAAUGCUUGGGAAUCUAGCUUAUGGAGGGGGAUAACUACGGGAAACUGUAGCUAAUACCGCGUACCAUAGGAUGAGCCCAAGUGGGAUUAGGUAGUUGGGGAGGGAAAGGCUCACCAAACCGACGAUCUCUAGCUGGUCUGAGAGGAUGACCAGCCACACUGGGACUGAGACACGGCCCAGACUCGUACGGGAGGCAGCAGUGGGGAAUAGUGCGCAAUGGGGGCAACCCUGACGCAGCAAUGCCGCGUGAAUGAAGAAGGCCUUAGGGUUGUAAAGUACUUUCAGCGGGGAGGCGGUACCCGAAGAAGAAGCACCGGCUAACUCCGUGCCAGCAGCCGCGGUAAUUC